AUUGAACGCUGGCGGCAUGCCUAACACAUGCAAGUCGAACGAGUGGCGGACGGGUGAGUAAUGUGUGGAAAACUGCCCGAUGUAAGGGGGUAACUACUGGAAACGAUGACUAAUAACCCAUACCCUCGGAUCUUCCCCAAUGGGAUUAGCUGGUGGGUGGGGUAACGGCUCACCUAGGCGACGAUGCCUAGCUGGUCUGAGAGGAUGACCAGCCACACUGGAACGGAGACACGGUCCAGACUCCUACGGGAGGCAGCAGUGGGGAAUAUUGCACAAUGGGCGAAAGCCUGAGAGAGCAAUGCCGCGUGUAUGAAGAAGGCCUUCGGGUUGUAAAGUCCUUUCAGCGAGGACGCGUUACCCGAAGAAGAAGCACCGGCUAACUCCGUGCCAGCAGCCGCGGUAAUUC
rnacentral:rRNA from 1 species